rnacentral:lncRNA from 1 species
GAGUAACCCUGUGGAGGAUAAGGCGGAGGUGGAUAUGCUGAAGUUGAUGAGUAAGGUGAAGGAUAAGCAGAAGGUUGAGGAGGAUAAGGAGAUGGUGGAUGAUAUGCUGCAGAAGGAGGCGGGACUGCGGGAUAAGGAGAUGGUGCCGGAUACGCAGAAGGUGGUGGGUGAGAUGGUGCUGGAUAGGCAGAAGGUGGUGGGUGAGAAACUGCAUGUUGCGGAGCUGCCGAAUAUGGAUAUGAUCCAGGAGUUGGUGCUCCAUAUGGAGAGCCUGAUGGAGCAUGGCUUGUUGCGGGCUUCUGGAAGUAGAAGGAGUAAAAGUCAUUUCAAAGAUAUAUAAACAUGUCCGUGUUUGGUUUUGGAGGGGGCAAGGGCAAGGGAGAAAUUCUAAGAAAAUAUGGUGGCACU